rnacentral:rRNA from 1 species
UACUCGAGUGGCGAACGGGUGAGUAACACGGUGGGUGAUCUGCCCUGCACUUCGGGAUAAGCUUGGGAAACUGGGUCUAAUACCGGAUAGGAGCCAUCUUUAGUGUGGUGGUUGGAAAGUUUUUUCGGUGUAGGAUGAGCUCGCGGCCUAUCAGCUUGUUGGUGGGGUAAUGGCCUACCAAGGCGGCGACGGGUAGCCGGCCUGAGAGGGUGUACGGCCACAUUGGGACUGAGAUACGGCCCAG